UACGAAGGGUGCAAGCGUUAAUCGGAAUUACUGGGCGUAAAGCGCGCGUAGGUGGUUUGUUAAGUUGAAUGUGAAAGCCCCGGGCUCAACCUGGGAACUGCAUCCAAAACUGGCAAGCUAGAGUAUGGCAGAGGGUGGUGGAAUUUCCUGUGUAGCGGUGAAAUGCGUAGAUAUAGGAAGGAACACCAGUGGCGAAGGCGACCACCUGGGCUAAUACUGACACUGAGGUGCGAAAGCGUGGGGAGCAAACAGG
rnacentral:rRNA from 3 species